rnacentral:rRNA from 1 species
UGGGGAAUAUUGCACAAUGGGCGCAAGCCUGAUGCAGCCAUGCCGCGUGUGUGAAGAAGGCCUUCGGGUUGUAAAGUACUUUCAGCGGGGAGGAAGGGAGUAAAGUUAAUACCUUUGCUCAUUGACGUUACCCGCAGAAGAAGCACCGGCUAACUCCGUGCCAGCAGCCGCGGUAAUACGGAGGGUGCAAGCGUUAAUCGGAAUUACUGGGCGUAAAGCGCACGCAGGCGGUUUGUUAAGUCAGAUGUGAAAUCCCCGGGCUCAACCUGGGAAUUGCAUCUGAUACUGGUCAGCUAGAGUCUUGUAGAGGGGGGUAGAAUUCCAUGUGUAGCGGUGAAAUGCGUAGAGAUGUGGAGGAAUACCGGUGGCGAAGGCGGCCCCCUGGACAAAGACUGACGCUCAGGUGCGAAAGCGUGGGGAGCAAACAGG